UACGUAGGGGGCAAGCGUUGUCCGGAAUCAUUGGGCGUAAAGAGCGCGUAGGCGGCCCUGUAAGUCCGCUGUGAAAGUCAAGGGCUCAACCCUUGAAUGCCGGUGGAUACUGCAGGGCUAGAGUCCGGAAGAGGCGAGUGGAAUUCCUGGUGUAGCGGUGAAAUGCGCAGAUAUCAGGAGGAACACCGAUGGCGAAGGCAGCUCGCUGGGACGGUACUGACGCUGAGGCGCGAAAGCGUGGGUAGCAAACAGG
rnacentral:rRNA from 1 species